GGACCGAGAGACCAUUCUUCGGGAACGAUUCAUCUACCGCGUCUACCAUUGGAGUUAGCCCGGUAUCUAUCCCUGGCAUAUCCAGUUUGCCUCAGAGCGACGGGCUUGCAGGACCAGCCGCUAGGACUGAUUCUCAUAUGACUCCUGGCAUCCCUCAAAUGCCCGCGGAUAAUGGAUC